GGAUUAGAUACCCUGGUAGUCCACGCCGCAAACGAUGGAUGCUAGGUGUCGGAGGAUUCACCCCUUCGGUGCCGAAGUUAACGCAUUAAGCAUCCCGCCUGGGGAGUACGGUCGCAAGAUUAAAACUCAAAGGAAUUGACGGGGGCCCGCACAAGCGGUGGAGUAUGUGGUUUAAUUCGACGCAACGCGCAGAACCUUACCCAGGCUUGACAUCCUCGGAACCUGAUGGAAACAUCGGGGUGUCCCCUCACGGGGAAGCCGAGUGACAGGUGCUGCAUGGCUGUAGUCAGCUCGUGCCA
rnacentral:rRNA from 1 species